AUGGAUCGCUUUCCCCAGGAUAGUGAUGGCCGACAAGAUGAACACGACCCCAAGGAUAACACAUGCUCUGGAAAACAUACACACAGUCGAUAAGGGAUGACGAACACAAGGCGAGACUGUCUAAGGACCCUCUUUAGACAUGAAACCCAGAGCGGGGCCACUUCUCAAGGGACUAGAGAGUCUGUCUGCCUGGCCUCCAUCCAUCAAACCUGGUGGUCUUUAGGAAACUUUAACCUGCUGAGCCUGUGCCCAUCCACUCCAGCAUUCAGGCAAGUGUAUGUUGUUAAUAUUGAUUUUGAUAAGUGUUUGUCUCAAAUAUACAUCUAAACAUUAUAUAUAAUAUGCAUUCCUCUGCUGUAAAACUGCAUUGAAUGAUUUCCAGCAGCUAAAGUGUCCGGGAUCAGAUUUCAUCUCUUCACACUGUGAUGUCAGCACAUGCUGUGGAUCUGAGCUACCCAAACGACACUGUGGCUCGUGUCCAGUUAUCGACCUAAUAUUGACCUCUAAUGCACCUGAAUCCUCUAUCCCGAGACUGGAUGAGCGAUCUGAGAUAUUCCAUCCACCUCUACAGGGUCAGCCAAACUCUCAAAGAAGAAUGAAGAACAGGAAGCGAGUGUGCUGGCGAGUGAAGUGAGGCUUUCUGUCAAGCAUUUUUAUAGAAUUAUGCUAAAUGCUAAUGCUAACACUAAACUGUACUCUUUCUGCACUCCUCUCACAAAAUAAAAUCAUUUCAACUCAAAUAAAUAUUUAUGUCUAUUUAUUUAUUUAAUUAUUUUGUAACUAUGUAGGAUAAGUCAACUGCUCAUCACAAAAUAAAAUUGGCAAACAAUCGAUCGAUCGGAUCCCAAGUGAACGACGCUAAAUACAGGUGUAAACAGGGUGUGAAAAGUUUUGAGCUUGUCCACUUUCGACCACUUCCAGAGUUGAAAAAGCAUUAGACUGGAUUGCUUUCAUAGAGGAAACGCUCAUGUGGUCGAAUGUUUUCGAACAGCCGCUAAAGACCGCCUUCUCUCUGCCUACUGACCUAAUAUGUAAACAUGGAAAGUGCACUAGCCAGACGGGAUUUACACUUUAUAGGACCCAAGACCGUUUGGUUUCAAGACGAAAAACGUACGAAACACAAUGUUCUCUCACCAUUCUGAUUUCUACAUGGCGUUCGGCAUGGUAUUGCGGCUGUCAGAGCAGAAACUAAAGCUGAUGCUCUUCGUAUUUUUUUGCAUUGUAUCCGGGCGCAUUCAUAUGUAAAUUGCACAAGCUUAU